GGCGUAAAGAGCUCGUAGGUGGUUUGUCGCGUUGUUCGUGAAAUCUCACGGCUUAACUGUGAGCGUGCGGGCGAUACGGGCAGACUUGAGUACUGCAGGGGAGACUGGAAUUCCUGGUGUAGCGGUGGAAUGCGCAGAUAUCAGGAGGAACACCGGUGGCGGAGGCGGGUCUCUGGGCGGUAAUUGACGCUGAGGAGCGAAAGCGUGGGGAGCGAACAGGAUUAGAUACCCUGGUAGUCCACGCCGUAAACGGUGGGUACUAGGUGUGGGUUUCCUUCCUUGGGAUCCGUGCCGUAGCUAACGCAUUAAGUACCCCGCCUGGGGAGUACGGCCGCAAGGCUAAAACUCAAAGAAAUUGACGGGGGCCCGCACAAGCGGCGGAGCAUGUGGAUUAAUUCGAUGCAACGCGAAGAACCUUACCUGGGUUUGACAUGCACAGGACGCCGGCAGAGAUGUCGGUUCCCUUGUGGCCUGUGUGCAGGUGGUGCAUGGCUGUCGUCAGCUCGUGUCGUGAGAUGUUGGGUUAAGUCCCGCAACGAGCGCAACCCUUGUCUCAUGUUGCCAGCGGGUAAUGCCGGGGACUCGUGAGAGACUGCCGGGGUCAACUCGGAGGAAGGUGGAGAUGACGUCAAGUCAUCAUGCCCCUUAUGUCCAGGGCUUCACACAUGCUACAAUGGCCGGUACAAAGGGCUGCGAUGCCGCGAGGUUAAGCGAAUCCUUUUAAAGCCGGUCUCAGUUCGGAUCGGGGUCUGCAACUCGACCCCGUGAAGUCGGAGUCGCUAGUAAUCGCAG
rnacentral:rRNA from 1 species